rnacentral:rRNA from 1 species
AGAGUUUGAUCCUGGCUCAGGAUGAACGCUAGCGAUAGGCUUAACACAUGCAAGUCGAGGGGCAGCAUGGUCUUAGCUUGCUAAGACUGAUGGCGACCGGCGCACGGGUGCGUAACGCGUAUGCAACUUGCCUCACAGAGGGGGAUAACCCGUCGAAAGACGGACUAAUACCGCGUACACUCCAGCUUGGGCAUCCAGGCUAGAGGAAAUGAAAUUCGCUGUGAGAUAGGCAUGCGUCCCAUUAGCUAGUUGGUGAGGUAACGGCUCACCAAGGCGACGAUGGGUAGGGGAACUGAGAGGUUGAACCCCCACACUGGUACUGAGACACGGACCAGACUCCUACGGGAGGCAGCAGUGAGGAAUAUUGGUCAAUGGGCGAGAGCCUGAACCAGCCAAGUCGCGUGAAGGAUGACUGUCUUAUGGAUUGUAAACUUCUUUUGUAGGGGAAUAAAGAAUGGUACGUGUACUAUAGUGAAUGUACCCUACGAAUAAGCAUCGGCUAACUCCGUGCCAGCAGCCGCGGUAAUACGGAGGAUGCGAGCGUUAUCCGGAUUUAUUGGGUUUAAAGGGUGCGUAGGCGGCCUGUUAAGUCAGCGGUGAAAUCUAGGGGCUUAACUCCUAAAUUGCCAUUGAUACUGGUGGGCUUGAGUGUAGAUGAGGUAGGCGGAAUGCGUGGUGUAGCGGUGGAAUGCAUAGAUAUCACGCAGAACUCCAAUUGCGAAGGCAGCUUACUAAGGUACAACUGACGCUGAAGCACGAAAGCGUGGGUAUCAAACAGGAUUAGAUACCCUGGUAGUCCACGCAGUAAACGAUGAUAACUGGGCGUAUGCGAUAUACAGUAUGCUCCUAAGCGAAAGCGUUAAGUUAUCCACCUGGGGAGUACGCCGGCAACGGUGAAACUCAAAGGAAUUGACGGGGGCCCG